rnacentral:rRNA from 1 species
CAGCAGCCGCGGGAAUACGUAGGUCCCGAGCGUUGUCCGGAUUUAUUGGGCGUAAAGCGAGCGCAGGCGGUUAGAUAAGUCUGAAGUUAAAGGCUGUGGCUUAACCAUAGUACGCUUUGGAAACUGUUUAACUUGAGUGCAAGAGGGGAGAGUGGAAUUCCAUGUGUAGCGGUGAAAUGCGUAGAUAUAUGGAGGAACACCGGUGGCGAAAGCGGCUCUCUGGCUUGUAACUGACGCUGAGGCUCGAAAGCGUGGGGAGCAAACAGGAUUAGAUACCCGUGUAGUCCCUGUCUCUUAUACA